GACGAACGCUGGCGGCGUGCUUAACACAUGCAAGUCGAACGGAAAGGCCCUUCGGGGUCCUCGAGUGGCGAACGGGUGAGUAACACGUGGGUGAUCUGCCCUGCACUUUGGGAUAAGCCUGGGAAACUGGGUCUAAUACCGAAUAGGACCACGCGCUUCAUGGUGUGUGGUGGAAAGCUUUUGCGGUGUGGGAUGGGCCCGCGGCCUAUCAGCUUGUUGGUGGGGUAAUGGCCUACCAAGGCGACGACGGGUAGCCGGCCUGAGACGGUGACCGGCCACACUGGGACUGAGAUACGGCCCAGACUCCUACGGGAGGCAGCAGUGGGGAAUAUUGCACAAUGGGCGCAAGCCUGAUGCAGCGACGCCGCGUGAGGGAUGACGGCCUUCGGGUUGUAAACCUCUUUCAAUAGGGACGAAGCGCAAGUGACGGUACCUAUAGAAGAAGCACCGGCCAACUACGUG
rnacentral:rRNA from 1 species